ensembl:lncRNA
UCUGAGCAAUGGUUCUGAUGGUUCUGAGCAAUGGUUCCGGGUGUGUCUUCUGUCCGGCCCAUCAGCUAUAUCCUCCCCCCCCAGGUCCUCUGCAGACAUGGCUAAGGAUGUCCCUGGACUCUGACUGCGUGCUGCUGUCAUUGAGGGGCUCCAGGACGUCCUGCGUCCUCCAAAGCGAGGACGAGAAGGAUGACCCCCCCUGGAGCGGGAGAGGAGAGUGUCCUGGAGAUGCUGAGCUGCUCCAAGUUCUCCGGGCUGGAGACAUGGCUCUGCAUGCCGUCCUCCUUACUGCUGCCCAGCGGCCCGGACCUCACCCCCACCUCCUCCUCUUCACAUGCAUCCAACCAGCCGACCUCCUCUGCCUCAUCCUCCUCAUCCUCAGCCUCCAACUGCCGUCGCUCCACCUGCAGCGAUCCAGGAGAGACGCUCAGGUCGUGGGACGGCGACUCCUCCCUCCCCCCUCCUGCUCUCCUCCCAGUCUCCUCCACCCCCGCUGGACAGUCCUCCUCCCCCCCCUCCUCCUCCUCCGCCGGGGGGGGGCAUCAGGAAGCGUCGGCGCCUUGCUGCCAGUCCCGGAGGACUCCACUGGAACUCUGCAGGUUUGGUGCAACGGGACUGGUCACCUGACCCGUCUCCGGUGUCGGGGGAGAACGCAACAGCAGGACGAGGGGCGAGCCCCCCCCCUGGUGCAGGUAGGCGGGGCCACGUGGGGGGCCGACCGGGCUGCCCUGAGACUCCUGAGUCGGCUGGAGAGAGGCAGGAAGAAGGUCCACGGCAUCCAGGUGAGUUCUUCUUCAUGUGACAUCUUUUGUUCAUUCAUUUAUUCGCUAUCUUUGGGUUGGAUCAGAUUUCAGAUGUCAUGAAUAUUAAACCUCUCUGGGGGUCAGAAGCAUAAACAUUCUGUCAGAGAUCAAUGAAGCACCUUCGCUCUCCGGACUCAUCCUGUUUGCCACCAUCUUGGUUUCUUCCCAUCAGCCUCGUGGCUUUGGGCCAUUUGACGAGCCGCCGCCAUCUUUCUUUUGUGCGUCUCCAUCUUUUGUGUUGGCCGUAAUGAUCUUCAUCUUGGUUGUAGCGUAGCGCCUUCUGCCUUUAGCCGUCGACAUUUCAUCUCUACAUUUUACUCUAAAUGGACAGUUUACUAAACAAACAUGCUGUGAUGAAGAAGACUGGAAGGUAGAAGCUGAAGUAUCUCCGUAUCCACAGGAGGCAGCGGCCGAACCAAGAAUCUAUUUCCUCUUUUCUUUUGUCAUUUGACUUAUUUUUUCUGAAAAAUGUUUUAUUUUGAAAAUUGACCGGAUUUCCUCCUAAUUACGUGCGCUCGCUUUGUUAUUCCGUAACAACGUGUUUAUCCGCUACGCAAAAUAUUGUCUGACAUGAGAACUGGGCCCUUGAUCUAAAGUGUCUAAAGUACCACAAGACCUUCAAACAUUUCAAGUGAAAUACUUCUGUAAUAAUUUAUAGUAUUUCAAUUAAUAACUUCUAUUAAAGUAUUUUUUGAUUAACAGAAUAUUUAAUGAGUGAUCAACCUCACUGUGAUCAAAUGUUUACUAUUUGUUUCUUUUAUCAUCAAAUAAAAAAUAUUUAAUACGUCAAAUAAACACAGAAAGAAGCUUUAGUUUACUUUUCUACUUAUUGAUCACAUUGUCUCAGUGUGUGAAGAAGCUGCACGAGGAUGCGAUGGAGGAGGAGGAGGAGAACAACAUGUGGAGGCGAUGAAAGGAGGUGAGGGAGGAGCAGGAAUGUGCUCCUCCCUCACCUCCCGCUCCGUCGUCUCAGUAAAUAAUUAAUAAAAGAUUUCCAGGCAACACAAGAAGCCGAGAGACGAAACAUGCUGAGGAGAAGCGUGGAAAAGUACUGGCAACUUUACUCCUCCACCUCCUGCUCCUCUCAUCCUCCUCCACCUCCUCCUGCUCCAUGGGGUGUGCUUCCUUCAGCAUAGGAAAGGUGCUCAUAUCUAUUUAUUUAUUCAUCCACUGAAUCCAGUUUACGGUGAAUGACACACACACACACACAGACGUGUUUCAUACUUUGCUUAAGAUUUAAAACGUGAACCUGGAAAUGCUGAGGAUAUUUAUCCGUGAUGUGUGAUGUCAUGCUGGGUUGAACAGAAGCUCGUUUCUCCUGUUAGUGGCAUCUUCAGUCAUUUAAAACAGUUUCUGUCUCCUAGCAACAAGGUUUGUUUUUAUUAUGACCAUGAAAACAGAAGGCCGAUGGAGGAAAAUGGACAGUUGUUAAAGGGGGGGGGGACGGGGGGCAGACGGUAAUCUUCCUGUCUUCAGUUGUCAUGGAAACAGAAUAUUUCACCCCCCAGCUGUGCGAACCCUUGCAUUGCUCCACGGACCCAGAAUCCUUCACUCUAGCCGCUGUCCUCCCACUCGCCCUCCAUCAUUAAUCUCCACCUUCACUCUGUCACCAACUGCUCCCUCAGACGUGAAGUUAACCCUGUGGUGACGCUUACAGUAGACCCAAACUGAGAUGAGUCCUCAUGUGGCGAGGAACCGAGGAGCCGAGCGAACAACCUGCUGCUCCAUGUCAGUAAGACCAUAGGAGGUGAUUGAAGAGGCUCCUCCUGCGUCUCCAUCAGUGGAGCUGAGGAGCAGCAAGUUAACAGCUUCAAGCUCCUGGGCAUCAGCAUCACAAAGAACCCUACGUGGUCCUCACACAUCUCUGACCUGGAGGAGGAACCAUCUGCUGGUAUUGGUGACAGGAAAGGAGAUUUAAAAACAACCUCCACAGCUCCUCCUCCACAUUUAUAGUUUUGUGAUGAACUCUGUAAAUAUUCUUUUAAUCAGAGCUUUAUUUUACCGCUGAUGAGUCUAAUGGUCCGAUCCAGAUGUCCGCCGGUCGAGUUGAUGCUUUGAGUCUCUAAAGGAUGCGGUGAUGUCAGAGGUCUUCUGAUACCUGAUUGAGUGAUGAUCUCCUCUGUGUCUCCCCUCAGAGUCUGGGAACCACUGGCAGAUACGACUCCAGGAGGAAGUAAGUCAUCAUCAUCAUCAUCAUCAUCAUCAUCAGUCGGUUCUCUUUGAUCUUCGUGUAUUCUGAGAGCAAGAAGUCCUGAUGUGAAGAAGCAGGAGUUCUGGCCUCUGCUUUCAACAGCAACCGGAUUAAAUCGCCCUGCUUUUUGUUUUCCAUCUUCGCUCGGUGGGGUCGGGUGGAGGGGGGGUGGCUGCUGGUAGUAAAUAUUCUCUGGUACUAACAUGAAGUCACACCGAUGUCGAACUUGCUCUGACUAAAAGAAUUAAAGUGGUGGAUGAUGUUUGUUGAUUUCAGUCGUGAUGCUUCAGCCUCAUGUUUGGUCUCCUCGUCUGAGGAGACGCUGACAGCAUAUCAGACAAGAACAACAACAGCGUGAUGUUCAGAACAUUCAGCAGCAUCCGCGGCUUUAAUAACGCUCCACACACACCGAUGGGCCCAAGGCAGCCAUCAGGAAUAAUGGCCUCCGUCUACGCGUUGCCAUGGCGAUCGGGUGGAGGCGAUGAGCUCGGUGGGAGACUCUGAGGACAACUUCUGGUGUUUGUGGAUCCCAGAGCUGCUGGAGUGGAUUCUGAUAACGCGAAGCUCCAUAUAACAAUAAUCACAAAUGAGUCAACCAUUGGAAUAAAAAACUGUUUUAGUUUCAGCUUCCUCCACUCGUGCUUUUUAGAUUCCUACAGAUAUUUGUGUUAAUUUGAUUUAAUAACUUCUCUAAUGACCAGUGGAGGAUGUAUUUAAACAACUUUAACGUGUCAUCAUCACACAAAUCCGACUGAGCUGUAAACUCUGUAACUGCCUUAAUGUUGAUUUAAAACCGUCUUGUGGUUUAUUCAAUUACAAUAAUGGACUCAAACAUUUAGAUGGACAUUUGUUUAAUUAUCCAUUCAAAUCUUAAAUCAAACACCAUCUAAACAAAGUUAAUAAACUUUGGUACUAACUGUUGUCACAUUCUACCUCCUCUCAUUCUAGUUGGCUUCCUUUCCCCACGUCCUACUUUCUCUCCCGUAUACACACGUACAGACAAGUGCAGUAAAAGACUACACAAUAGUGCAAAAGAUGACAGUUUCAUAAUUUCAGUGCUCCAACUAUUUGAUUUACAUGGAAAUAUGCAGCUAUAUAUGUUUAUAUUUGCAUAUAGAUAUAAAUCUAUUCUAUAUAACGAAUAUAUAAAUCUAUUUCUAUAUAUACAUAGUGCAUAGCUAUAUAAAUCUGUAUGUAUUAAUGUAUACAGGCGUGUUUUACUUUCGUAAAAGGUUCUCCUUCACCUGUUGCUCCUCCACGGUAACCAUGGAAACAGAGCCCAGCCAGCCAUCGCCACAAUUGUUUUAUUUCUCUCACCGCACAGAGAAGCCGUAACUCCUGAUGUUCUCCGUGUGUGGGCGUGUGCGUGUGUGUGUGUGAUGUUCAUCACUGUCGUCACGAUGUACAAACAUCUGGAUUUAUGGAGCUAAUAACACUUCACUUACUUACCUUUAGGGUUACUGAUUUAAAUCGUGUGUAGACAUCGACUACUUCAUACACUAAAUGCACCCUUAUAGACGGCAAAUACUUUUAUACCAUAAAUAAACUUAAAUAUCAUGAAUAUACUUAAAUAACACAAACACACAAACUGCAAAAUUAUCUAGAGUUAAAGUUAUUACAAUCAGCUGCUACUAUAUUUGAAUAAUUGAAUUUGGAUCUUUUCACCAUCUGAUGGUGAUCAAGAUGAUCAGAAGAAACACGUUGCAGCAGAGAAAAUAAAAUGAAUAUAUGAUAUACAGUAAUGAAUAUAUGAUAUACAGUAAUAAUAUAUGAUAUACAGUAAUAAUAUAUGAUAUACAGUAAUGAAUGAAUAUAUGAUAUACAGUAAUGAAUAUAUGAUAUACAGUAAUAAUAUAUGAUAUACAGUAAUGAAUAUAUGAUAUACAGUAAUUAAUAUAAUCUAAUGAAUGUAGUAAAUAUAAUACAUAUAUAAUAGAAUACAAAAAGAUAAAUCAAGUGUUCCAGCUGUGAAACACUGUCACCACCUUAUUUCCAUCUGUUCCAACUCUUGAUUGACACGUGUCUUUUCUCUCUGAAUCUGCCUUAAUUCACAACGUCACCCCGCGGCUGCUGCUCCUCCUCCACCCUUUACACCGCCUGUGUGUGUGUGUGAGAGAUUCAUGCACACACACGUCUCUCCAACAUCCUCUCUCUCCCUCAACCCAGUCUGUGCGUGUGUGUGCGUGUGUGUGUGUGUGUGUGUGCGGGUGUGCGUGUGUGCGUGUGUGUGCGUGUGUGUGCGUGUGUGUGUGCGUGUGUGUCUGUGUGUGUGCGGGUGUGCGUGUGUGCGUGUGUGUGCGGGUGUGUGCGUGUGUGCGUGUGUGUGCGGGUGUGUGCG